rnacentral:tRNA from 1 species
UGAAAGCUAGUGAACAUGUGACACAAAUGAAUUUGAAUCAUUAAAAGGAAUUAAAAAUUCCGCUUUCAA